rnacentral:rRNA from 1 species
AUUGAACGCUCGCGGCAGGCCUAACACAUGCAAGUCGAGCGGAGCGGCGGACGGGUGAGUAAUGCCUAGGAAUCUGCCUGGUAGUGGGGGAUAACGUCCGGAAACGGGCGCUAAUACUGAAUACUAUCCGAUGAGCCUAGGUCGGAAUAGCUAGAUGGUGGGGUAAAGGCCUACCACGGCGACGACCCGUAACUGGUCUGAGAGGAUGAUCAGUCAAAGUGGAACUGAGACACGGUCCAGACUCCGACGGGAGGCAGCAGUGGGGAAUAUUGGACAAUGGGCGAAAGCCUGAUCCAGCCAUGCCGCGUGUAGGAAGAAGGUCUUCGGAUUGUAAAGCACUUUAAGUUGGGAGGCGUUACCAACAGAAUAAGCACCGGCUAACUUCGUGCCAGCCGCGGCGGUAAUUC